GCCAGACGCAGUGGCGUGUGCCUGUCGUCCCAGCUACUUGGGAAGCUGAGGCUGGAGAAUCCCUUGAGUUCAGGAGUUCUGGGCUGUAGUGCACUAUACUGAUCAGGUGUCCUCACUAAGUUUGGCAUCAAUAUGGUGACCUCCGGGGAGCGGGGGAUCACCAGGUUGCCUAAGGAGGGGUGAACCGGCCCAGGUUGGAAACUGAGCAGGUUAAAACUCCCGUGCUGAUCAGUAGUGGGAUUGCACCUGUGAAUAGCCACAGCCCUCCAGACUGAGCAACAUAGUGAGACCCUGCCUCU
rnacentral:SRP_RNA from 1 species